GAAGAAGUUAAAGGGCUGAGGGAAGGUGAAAUUAUUUUUCAAGUUGAUAAUAGGGUAAGAGUUGCUAUUGUAGCCAUCGGCACCUAUCUUUUGUGACUACCAUUAAGAUUUAGUUUGCUUUUAAAAGACUAUUAUUGUGUAUCUGUAGUCAGUAGAAAUUUAAUUUUUGUAUCUGUAUUCGCACAAGAUAAUUAUAUUUUUAAUUUUAAUAAAUACUUAUUUAUAAUUUAUUU
rnacentral:lncRNA from 1 species